UAGGGAAUCUUCGGCAAUGGACGAAAGUCUGACCGAGCAACGCCGCGUGAGUGAAGAAGGUUUUCGGAUCGUAAAACUCUGUUGUUAGAGAAGAACAAGGACGUUAGUAACUGAACGUCCCCUGACGGUAUCUAACCAGAAAGCCACGGCUAACUACGUGCCAGCAGCCGCGGUAAUACGUAGGUGGCAAGCGUUGUCCGGAUUUAUUGGGCGUAAAGCGAGCGCAGGCGGUUUCUUAAGUCUGAUGUGAAAGCCCCCGGCUCAACCGGGGAGGGUCAUUGGAAACUGGGAGACUUGAGUGCAGCAGAGGGGAGUGGAAUUCCAUGUGUAGCGGUGAAAUGCGUAGAUAUAUGGAGGAACACCAGUGGCGAAGGCGGCUCUCUGGUCUGUAACUGACGCUGAGGCUCGAAAGCGUGGGGAGCAAACAGG
rnacentral:rRNA from 1 species